AGCAGUCGCCACGGUAAUACGGAGGGUGCAAGCGUUAUCCGGAUUUAUUGGGUUUAAAGGGUCCGUAGGCGGACUUAUAAGUCAGUGGUGAAAGCCUGUCGCUUAACGAUAGAACUGCCAUUGAUACUGUAAGUCUUGAGUAUAUUUGAGGUAGCUGGAAUAAGUAGUGUAGCGGUGAAAUGCAUAGAUAUUACUUAGAACACCAAUUGCGAAGGCAGGUUACCAAGAUAUAACUGACGCUGAGGGACGAAAGCGUGGGUAGCGAACAGGAUUAGAUACCCGAGUAGUCCCUGUCUCUUAUAC
rnacentral:rRNA from 1 species